rnacentral:rRNA from 1 species
GACGAACGCUGGCGGCGCGCCUAACACAUGCAAGUCGAACGGCACUGCGGUAAGCUUGCUUUUCUUAGCUUAGUGGCGGACGGGUGAGUGACGCGUGCGUAGCCUGCCAUUUUGUGGGGGACAACAGCGGGAAACGACUGCUAAUACCACAUCAGCCCACGAUCCGGCAUAGGCAUGAGGGAUAAGGAUUUAUUCGGUUCAGGAUGGACUCUCGUCGAAUUGCCUAGUUGGUGAGGUAACGGCCAACCAAGGCAACAUUAGGUAGCCGGGCGGGGAGGUUGAACGGCCACACUGGGACGGAGACACAGCCCAGAAUCUUACGGGAGGGAGCAGUGGGGGAUAUUGCAAAAUCGGGGAAAUGCUGAUGCAGCGACGCCGCGUGGAGGAAGAAGUUUUUCGGAUUGUAAACUCCGGUAGUAAGGGACGAUAAUGACGGUACCUAACAAGAAAGCACCGGCUAACUACGUG